AGAGUCAGAAGGAGAAGUGGACACCCCAAUAAACAGAGAACCUGAGGUGGGGCUCCAUCCCAGGAACCUGGGAUCAUGACCUGAGCUGAAGGCAGACGCUUAACUGACUGAGCCACCCAAUAUCCUAAGACUAUACUUUAUUUUUUUUUAAGAUUUUUAAUUUCUUUCUUUAAUUAGAGAGAGAUCACAAGUAGGCAGAGAGGCAGGCAAAGAGAGGGGGAAACAGGCUCCCUGCUAAACAGAGAGCCCGAUGCGGGACUCAUUCCCAGGACUCUGAGAUCAUGACCGGAGCUGAAGGCAGAGGCUUAACCCACUGAGCCAAGCAGCCGCCCAAGACUGUACCUUUUGAGACCAGUUUAAGGUUUGCAGUGAAACUGAGAGGAAGGUACAGAAAUUCCCCAUUCAUUCCCUGACUCCAUACUUGCAUACCCUCCCCCAUUAUUAUUAUUCCCCAUACUAUGUUUGUUAUAAUGAUGAACCUGCAUUGACACAUCAUAGUCACCCAAAGUCUACCGUUUACAUUUUGGUUCCUCUGGGUGUUGUACAUUCUGUGAUGUGGGAAAAUGCCUAAUGACUGCAUCCGUCAUAUGGCAGCAUAUAGAGUGAUUUCACUGUCCUGAAAACCCACUGUUCUCUGCCUAUUCAUCCCUUCUUUUUCCCAGCCCCGGGAAACUACCAGUCUUUUUACAGUUUCCAUAGUUUUUUCUUUUCCAGAAUGUCAUAUAGUUGGGACUCUACAGUUGUAGCCUUUUCAGAUUGGUCUUUUCCAUUUAGCAAUAUGCAUCUCAGUUUCCUCCAUUUUUUUUUUCAUGGCAUGAUACGUCUUUCUUUUUAGUGCUGACUAGCAUUCCAUUGUCUGGAUGUACCUCAGUUUACCCAUUCACCCACUGAAGGACAUUUUGUUUGUUUUCAAGUUUGGGAAAUUAUGGAUAAAGCUGCUAUAAACACCUGCCUGCUGGGUUUUGUGUUUUCAGCUUAUUUGGGUAAAUACCAGGAGUAUGGUUGCUGGGAUGUCCAGUAGGAGGUGGUUUAGUUUUGUAAGAAACUGCUACUGCUGCCUUGUGUUCCAAACUGGUUAUACUAUUUUGCAUUCCAGGGAACCAGGAAUGAGAGUUGUUCUACAUUCUUGCCAGCAUGUGGUGUUGCAGAUGCUCCAGAUUUUUUCUAUUCUACUAGGUGUGUGGUGGUAUCUCACUGUUUUACUUUGCCUCUCCCUGAUAGCAUGUGACCUAAAGCAUUUUCUCAUCUGCUUAUUUGAUAUCCGUGUAUCUUCUUUGGUGAGAAGUCGGUUAAAACCUCAACUCUACAGUCAACUAAUCUUCGACAAAGCAGGAAAGAAUGUCCAAUGGAAAAAAAGACAGCCUCUUCAAUAAAUGGUGCUGGGAAAAUUGGACAGCCACAUGCAGAAAAGUGAAAUUGGACCAUUUCCUUACACCACAUAAAAAUAGACUCAAAAUGGAUGAAGGACCUCAAUGUGCGAAAGGAAUCCAUCAAAAUCCUUGAGGAGAAUACAGGCAGCAACCUCUUCGACCUCAGCCGCAGCAACAUCUUCCUAGGAACAUCGCUAAAGGCAAGGGAAGCAAGGGCAAAAAUGAACUAUUGGGAUUUCAUCAAGAUCAAAAGCUUUUGCACAGCAAAGGAAACAGUUAACAAAAUCAAAAGACAACUGACAGAAUGGGAGAAGAUAUUUGCUAACGACAUAUCAGAGAAAGGACUAGUGUCCAGAACCUUUGGCCCAUUUUUAAUGGGGUUGUUUAUUUUCUUAUUGUUGAGUGAUGAAGUCCCAGUGUUUUAGUGUCUUAGGUCUCUGAACUGUGAACUUCAUAAUGUGUCCGGAAUUUUCUGCACCACUCAGGGGGAACAGGAUGACUACAGCAGACUGGAGCUGGAAUCUCCCUCUCCCCUCCCCAGGUCCAUUGGGUUGUGAUAAUAUCUCAGCAGGUUAGGCUCUGACUAACUAGCUUCUCCUGAGGUCAGGCCUUGUGAAGCAGAACACAGAUGAACUGGUUUAUUCUUAAUUGGUUUCUUUUCUCCUCCCCCAGCCAGAGCACGAUUUUUUCCUCUGAUAUUUAUUAUGGGAACCUGGUCAAGCCCUGAGAUGUAAAUUUUAGCAGUAUUUUGCCUCCCGACCCCAUAACUGGGUUCCUGUAGCGUUUUUCUCUCUCAGAGGUGUCCUUGCUGAGUGUAGCAACUCUUCCGUUCCAGCUCAGGCUUUAUUACCCUGUCCCUGGUGCCCACGGUGCUGUCCACGAGUGAAUCACAGCUCAGAACACAUGGAUACCAAUUUCCAGGACACUACCUAUGGAGUAGUUUGUCUUCUGCUCACAAGUGACUCUCUCAAGUUUGUUUAUAAACUGGUUUAAUUCAAGGUCUGCUCUUCACUUCCACUAGGCUGUUUGUGUAUUUCUGCACCAAAGAAGCCAUGAUAUCUAUUAGGUCAAGCCUUUACACUUCAUUUGUACCUUCUUGACUCUAACUCUUCUACUUAAAUUGUCAAAUAAGUCUUCUAAAUUUCACGGAAAAUCCAGUUCAGAAUUUGGAUGAAGUUUCAUGGACUCUGUAUAUUAAUUUUGGGAUAAAUGACAUAUUUGAAACACUGGGUCUUGUUAUAUAUGAAUAUGUAUCUUUCUUAAUUUAUGUAUUUUAAAAUAUAUUUCAAAAAAUAUGUAUUUAUCUUAAGAGAAUUGACCAUCUUAUGUUAAGGUAAUUUCUAAUUACCUAUGUUUGGUUCUGCAAAUUGUGUUUUCUGUCUAACUUUUGUGUAUUGAUUUUGUAUAGUUACUGAACUAAGUUCUUUUAUUAAUUUGAAUAAUUUAUUACAUUCUCUUGGGUUUUUAAUGAAGAUAAUCCUGUCUCCUGCAAAUAAUGAGGUUUUUUCCUAUUUUUAUUCUUACAUAUUUUAUUUCAUUUUCGUAUUUUCAUGUGUUUUCUGGAUCCUCUGUUCAAUGUUGAGAAUGUAUGACAAUAGUGGGCAUCUUUCUUUUAUUCCUCUCUUUAAAGAGAAUGAUUUUACUAUUUCACCAAUAAGUAUGAUGUUUCCUAUGAAAAGUUUAUAGAUAUUCCUUGCCAGUUAGGAAAGUUUCCUUCAACCCCAAGUUUGCUGAGAAUUUCCAAUAUGAAUGAAUAUUGUGUCCAUCUUACUUGCAAAAAGGUGAGAUGAUUUUAUGAAUUUUUAUUUUGUUAAUUUAUAUUAAUAAUUUUUAAAAUUUCAAAUUUAAAAAUUUUAAAAAUGCUGACUCUUAUUUUUUGAGUAAAGCCAACUUAGUAGUAUUUGAUUGCUGGAUUGAGUUUGUCAAUAUGUUGCAGGAUUUUUGCAUCUGUAUUUAUAAUAGAGACUGAACCUACAAUUUUUCUUGUGAAACUUUCUUUAUUGGGUUUUGGAAUCAAGAUUCUAAUAGUCUCCUAAAGCAAGUAAAAAAGAAGUAUGUCAUUAUUUUUUAUUUUCUGGAAGAAUUUAUGUGAUAUGGGAAUUAUUUCCUCCUUACAAAUAACAGUGUAUUGAUUUUGUGUAGUUACUGAAUGAAGUUCUUUUAUUAAUUUGAAUAAUUCGUUACAUUUUCUUAGGUUUUGAUUUGCAAGUAGAUUCUGUAAAAUUUGUGGUUACACAAAGGACAUGGUUUUUGUUUUUUGUUUUUUUUUUUUUUUGUGAGAAGACAACGGUCUAAUUGUUUUCAGUAAUUAUAAGAUAACAUAGGUCUUUUAGUUCUUUCAUAAGUCCACUUGUGUAAGAGACAAUUUCCUGGAAAUGUGCUGAUCUCCUGUAAGUUAUCUCAUUUAGUAUUGUCUACACUUCACUAUUGUUAGAGCUUUUAUUUCUUCUGAAGCUUUGCUAAUAUUGUUUGUAUCUUUCCCCUUUUUCUUUGAUCAAUUUUGCCUGAGAUAUCUUUGUUUUUUCAAGAUCAGAUUUGUUUUUGCUUCUCUCCUUAUUAUAUCUUUAUUUUCUACUUUAUUAAUUUCUGAUUCUAUCUUUAUCACCCCCUACUUUUUGGUUUAUUUUGUCAGUAUUCUUCUCAGUUGAGAUAGCUGCUUGAUUUUCUAAUACAAAAGCCUUAUCACAUAAGGCUAUAAAUUUCUCUCUAUAAGCUAUAUUAUCUGUAGCCUACAUGUUCUGAUAGAAUUUUUCAUGAUAAUAAAAUUUUCUAAUAUUUCUUUUGAUUGCUUUCUGUUUAGAAGUGUUUUCAAAUUUCUAGAUUCUUUUCAUAAUAUUUUUAUGAAAGACUUCAAACUUAAUUUUACUGUAGUUACAGAAUGUGAUUCAUAGUGAAUCUUCCAUAUUUGUUAAAAGUAGUUCUAUAACUUUUUCAUGGUUUCUGUCUACCGGCAUUAAGUAUCAUCAGUGCUUGAAAGUAAUGUAUUGCCUCUAAUUGUUUUGUGUUUUAUUCUACAUUAUACCAUUAGUUUAAGCCUGUUAUUUGUAUUCUCAAGGUUUUUUAUACCUUAGUGAUUUUGGAGGGUGUCUGUUUGAUCUAUGGAUAAAGAUUAUGUCUAAAAAUUACUCACUAUAAUUUGUCCAUCUCUCUCUGUUAAUUUUUACUGUAAACAUUUUGAAUUGUGAAAUUCAGUGCAUGAGAGUUCUUAAUCAUUAGACAGUUGACCUCUAACUGAAAGAAUCCUUUUUACCUUAAGGUAAAAAGCUAUUUUUUUUUUCUGCUAUUCAUAUAGUCACAUUAAUUUUUGUUCACCCUUUCAUUAAAAAAUGUUUGUAUCUUA